rnacentral:rRNA from 1 species
UACAGAGGUCCCAAGCGUUGUUCGGAUUCACUGGGCGUAAAGGGUGCGUAGGCGGUCGGGUAAGUCUGACGUGAAAUCUCCGGGCCUAACCCGGAAACUGCGUUGGAAACUACUCGGCUAGAGGAAUGGAGGGGAGACUGGAAUACUUGGUGUAGCAGUGAAAUGCGUAGAUAUCAAGUGGAACACCAGUGGCGAAGGCGAGUCUCUGGACAUUUCCUGACGCUGAGGCACGAAAGCCAGGGGAGCAAACGGG